rnacentral:rRNA from 1 species
CCUACGGGAGGCAGCAGUGAGGAAUAUUGGACAAUGGGCGGAAGCCUGAACCAGCCAAGUAGCGUGCAGGAUGACGGCCCUACGGGUUGUAAACUGCUUUUAUGCGGGAAUAACGCGUCUUACGUGUAGCUCUUUUCAUGUACCUUAUUAAUAAGGGCCGGCUAAUUCCGUGCCAGCACCCGCGGUAAUACGGAAGGUCCGGGCGUUAUCCUGAUUUAAUGGGUGUAAAGGGAGCGUAGGCCGCAUGUCAAGCUUGCUGUGAAAUGUCCGGGCUCAACCCGGGCCUUGCAGCUCCUACUGGCGAGCUUGAGUCCGCGGAAAGCAGGAGGAAUUCGUGGUGUAGCGGUGAAAUGCUUAGAUAUGACGAAGAACCCCGAUUGCGAAGGCAGCUUGCUGCAGCGGAACUGACGCUGAUGCGCGAAAGCGUGGGUAGCGAACAGGAUUAGAUACCCGGGUAGUC